rnacentral:rRNA from 1 species
GACGAACGCUGGCGGCGUGCUUAACACAUGCAAGUCGUACGGUAAGGCCCUUUCGGGGGUACACGAGUGGCGAACGGGUGAGUAACACGUGAGUAACCUGCCCACAACUUUGGGAUAACGCUAGGAAACUGGUGCUAAUACUGGAUAUGUGCUCCUGCUGCAUGGUGGGGGUUGGAAAGCUCCGGCGGUUGUGGAUGGACUCGCGGCCUAUCUGCUUGUUGGUGGGGUAGUGGCCUACCAAGGCGGCGACGGGUAGCCGGCCUGAGAGGGUGACCGGCCACAUUGGGACUGAGAUACGGCCCAGACUCCUACGGGAGGCAGCAGUGGGGAAUAUUGCACAAUGGGCGCAAGCCUGAUGCAGCAACGCCGCGUGCGGGAUGACGGCCUUCGGGUUGUAAACCGCUUUCAGCAGGGACGAAGCUUUUUGUGACGGUACCUGCAGAAGAAGCACCGGCUAACUACGUG